rnacentral:rRNA from 1 species
UACGUAGGGGGCUAGCGUUGUCCGGAAUCAUUGGGCGUAAAGCGCGUGUAGGCGGCUCGGUAAGUCCGCUGUGAAAAGUCGGGGCUCAACCCUCGGACUGCCGGUGGAUACUGUCGGGCUUAGACCGGAAGAGGCGAGUGGAAUUCCUGGUGUAGCGGUGAAAUGCGCAGAUAUCAGGAGGAACACCAGUAUGGCAAGGCAGCUCGCUGGGACGUACUGACGCUGAGACGAGAACGUGGGGAGCAAACAGG